UGUUCAUCUCAUUCACUCCCA
rnacentral:piRNA from 1 species